UUUCGCAAUGCCCGAAAGGGUGACGAAGCGACGCCGCGUGCGGGAGGAAGGCCUUCGGGUUGUAAACCGCUGUCGGGAGUUAAGAAAUGCAAGGAUGUUAAUAGCGUUCUUGCUUGACUAAGGCUCCGGAGGAAGCCACGGCUAACUCUGUGCCAGCAGCCGCGGCAAUACAGAGGCGGCAAGCGUUGUUCGGAAUUAUUGGGCGUAAAGAGCACGUAGGCGGCUGUGUAAGUCGGUUGUGAGAGCCUUCCGCUCAACGGAAGAACGGCAUCCGAUACUGCAUGGCUUGAGUGUGGGAGGGGAGAGUGGAACUUCUGGUGGAGCGGUGAAAUGCGUAGAUAUCAGAAGGAACACCGGCGGCGAAGGCGACUCUCUGGUCCAUAACUGACGCUAAGUGUGCGAAAGCUAGGGGAGCAAACGGGAUUAGAUACCCCGGUAGUCCUAGCCGUAAACGAUGGGCACUAAGUAGAGGGGUUUU
rnacentral:rRNA from 1 species